GCAAAUCAUCGGCACAAGCGACCAAAGAGACACAUAGAUUGACUCGUUUGAUUGAUUGAUGCGGAAAACUGAAGAUGUGAAUGAAUCGCGAGCGUCCGUGCUUUUCAGUCUCCUUCGGAUAAAAGUCAGCCUCAGAGGUGGAGGAGAGAAGUGAAUGUGAAGUAGCAACAGCAGCAGUGGGGCCGCCAGCCAUCAAGCAGAUGGAUGGAUGAGAGUAGUGCGCUUCAGGAGCCAAUGCUGAAGUCCUGUUAUAGGCCAGAGUUAUCUGAAUGGCAGGCUAGAAGUUGACUCUCCUUGCUCUUUGUUUGUCAGAUCUAGAAUGGUAACAGUGACUCUCCAACUUUGCUCUUAAAAAUAA